GUGCUGGCUUUGACAGCAUGUAUACUCAAAUUGGAACGAUAUGGGAAUUAGCAUGGCCCCUGCAAACACAGGAUAACACGCAAAUUCAUGAAAUGUUCUAUAUUUUU
rnacentral:snRNA from 1 species